GUCAAAAUAACCGACGCAAAUGGGUCAAAUUGGAAUUUAGGCUUCUAGUGUGUGUUUGAUCGGGAGAACGCAAAAACACGCACACACACCUUCCUCGAGUGCACCGGGUUUCUGACCCUUGGUGCUGCUGUCUAGUCGUGAGUGUGUAAUUAGUAGAAACAAGAGAGCAGUCGAGACAAAGAUGUGGCGAAGAAGAAAGCAGCGCCGUGAAGCCGUGGCCGAAGGUGGAGUUGUGGCGGCACUUCGUUGGCAGUAACCCUAGUGGCCGAAAAUCUGUUGGUUUACCCCCAUCCAGUCUCUUUCUUUUUGAAUUACACUUCCAAGAGGGGCAAUUAUGUCUGCGAUAUAUAAAGAAAAGAAGGAUGAUUAAACUAGUAUUUUAUAUAAUAAAUGAUAGGGAAAUUGUAAGACUUUGUCAAUUAAUUCAUUCUUUUUGUCUUUGUUCAUUAUCUUAUUAGGAAAAGAAGGAAGAUUAAACUGGUAUUUUAUAUAAUAAACUAGUAUUUUAGGCCAUGUAAUUCUUGUCCUGGGAAUGAAGAUGACCAUAAUGCCCUCAAAGUCUCCUGUUCUCUUACAAAAAUGAAGAAAUGUUUAUCAUGUUACAGACUAAUUCUUUUGUCAUGCGAAACUUCUCAUUUGAAAACUUGCUCUCAUUUCAUUCCUCCCACAUAUAUAGGUGUUGUUUCUUUUUGACUUACGUCGAAUAUGAUGAGAAGGGUAAAAUGAUCAUUUACAAAUUGCCCGUGUUUAAUUUUUCCUUUCAUUUCCUUAAGUGUUGUUAUUUUUUCAAAUAUUUUUAUAAGAAACUGGGCCACAGACAUUAAUAUUAAAAAUGUAAAUCUAUUGAAAGAUUCUUGUAAUUAAACUACCUGAUGUUCUUGCCUGGUAGCAUCAUAAUAAACAUUUGUCCUGUUUUUUAGCCUUUUUAGAUUAUAUCACAGGUAGGUUUUAAAGAACUUAUUGUUAUCAUUAAAAAAAUAUUAUUUGAUAUAAGUAAUUGUAUAUAUAUUACUAAAUUAUUUUAUCAAGGUAUCCUACUGUUUCAUGUGGUAUGAAACAAUCCAAAAAGAUGUUGAUCUUGGUCUAAACCUCAACUAAUGGAAGUACAUUGAUAUAAAAUAAGAAUCAAUGAAUAUGUAAAACAAUUGUUAGUUUGUUACUAUAUAUUAAAUUUAAAGCCAAAGUCGAAUAUAUGAACUUGAUAUGUAAAAAAACACAAGUUUAAUCUAAAAUUUAAAAGUUAUUUUAUGUGAUUUAGAGACCAUAUAUAUCCACAAUGAAAUACCACGUUAAUGAUGAUUUUAAUUUUUUUUCAAUUGAGCUUGUGAUUUUGGGUUAAGCACAAUGAUCACCUUUAUAAUUUACUCUAAACUUUACUAUACAAAUUGGUAAAAUAAAAGUAUUAACAAAUUGAAAUAUAUAUAUUUUUUAUUUGAACGGGUUAAUAAAUAUCUAAUUAAAGAUAAUAUGAUAAAUAUAUAAAUGACUAAUAAAAUUUUGAUAAAGUACACGCCCAUGAUGAUAUGGAAUCACAAAAUGAAUCGUAAAUCCUUAAAGUGUGACUUACGCUUUGUAAAUCAUUUGUAUUUUUCCCAUUUUGCCCCUGUAGAUCUCUCUCUCUCUCUCUCUCUCUCUCUCUCUCUCUCUCUCUCUCUCUCUCUCUCUCCGGCGAGCACCUCUUCAAAACUGAUCGUCAAUCGAUUUCAACAGUGAUUCGACGAGUCUUCAAUUUUGAACAACCAGACUGUUUGGUGGAGGGAGAAAAAAUGGUGAAGUUCCAUGAUCAGAACUUGAAACAGAUGAAGUUUGUUGCUGCUGUAAAUACUUCUGGGCUACUUGUUGGAGUGACUACUGAUAAUCGAAUUGAAUCAAUGUUUUCGUUUUCUUCAACAAUGUAAUUUCUAAAUCUGUGUAUUAUAUCAUCCUCCUUUUGUUUUUUUUUUCUGUUACUUUCAUUUUUUGUGAAUGUAUUGUACUUCAAAAUUUCUAGCCAUUUACGACAUUGUACAUCGGAUGUUUUUUAAAGUACAAUGCUCUAAUAGGAAGAAAUGAAAGUGGGAUGCUAUAAUAAACAAAGUAAUAAAAGUACAGUGCUAUGUUUUCUGAUUAGCCCUUCUAUAUACCCAUGUUUCUAUAUGUAGGUUUACCUUGUGAUUUUAUUAGUGAUAUUGUUGAUGUCAAAUUGAUUUUACACAUUGUUUAAAAAGGGAUAAAUGCAAGAAAUAGCAAUGAACUUCUCUUUAUCGUGAAUUAUAGCAUUCUCCUUUCAUAUGCUUCUGUUACGACAUUGGAUUUUUUUUUUU